GACAUCACUCUAUUUAUGUGAAGGUCAAACUCUGUUAAACUUUGGAGAACAGAGAAGACCCCAGUACAAACAACACCCACCAUGUUCUCUACAUCUCUACUGCUCCUGCUGGCAGCUGCUUCCUAUGUGCAUGGUGAGGAACUGACUCAGCCUGCUUCCAUGACAGUCCAGCCAGGCCAGAGUCUCUCCAUUGAAUGCAAUGUUUCAUAUUUAGUUACGGUUUUUGGUACAGCUUGGAUUCGACAACGUGCAGGAAAAGCUCUGGAGUGGAUUGGAGCCAUUAAUAGUGUUGGACGUAGAGAUUACAGUGACAAACUGAAAAAUAUGUUCAGCAUCUCUAGAGACCCGUCCAGAAGAACAGUAAUAUUAACACGACAGAACAUGCAGACUGAAGACACAGCUGUGUAUUACUGCGCUCGUGAACCACAAUGAGAAACAUCACCAACAUCCCUGUACAAAAACAUCCUUUACAGAAAACUGUUUAUCAGCAAAAUUAGUGAAUAGGACUUUUAUUCUUCAACUGCAUUUUUCACCUGCAUCUUAUGAGUUUUUCUAAAACAACCACACAUACAGUACAAUUGUUACUUUUACAUCACAUCCAAUAUACUACAUGCUGAAAUGAUAGUUGAUGAUAAAAUACUUCAUAUCUUUUAGACUGUUG